AACGUAGGGGGCGAGCGUUGUCCGGAAUUACUGGGCGUAAAGCGCGUGUAGGCGGUUAGAUAAGUCUGGUGUGAAAUACCAGGGCUCAACCUUGGUGCUGCGCUGGAAACUGUCUGACUGGAGUGCGGUAGGGGAGACUGGAAUUCCUGGUGUAGCGGUGAAAUGCGUAGAUAUCAGGAAGAACACCUGUGGCGAAGGCGGGUCUCUGGGCCGCAACUGACGCUGAGACGCGAAAGCGUGGGGAG
rnacentral:rRNA from 1 species